rnacentral:misc_RNA from 1 species
GAUGAAGAACGCAGCAAAAUGCGAUAAGUAAUGUGAAUUGCAGAAUUCAGUGAAUCAUCGAAUCUUUGAACGCACCUUGCACCCUUUGGUAUUCCGAAGGGUAUGCUCGUUUGAGUGUCAUUGUACUCUCACACUUCUAAUUCCUUUCGGGAUUGGGAGCGGUGGACUUGGGUGUUGCUGCUUUAGUUGUGGCUCACCUCAAAUAAGUUAGUGCAACUCUUGGUUGGACAUAGUACGGCGUGAUAAGUGUCUUCGCCGGCGCCUCUGUAAGGAGGGUGGCCGAUCGGGAGCUCUGUGCUUCAAACCGUCUUCGGACAAUCUUUGACAACUUGACCUCAAAUCGAGUAGGACUACCCGCUGAACUUAAGCAUAUCAAUAAGCGGAGGA